rnacentral:rRNA from 1 species
UACGACUACAUAUCAGGCAUAUCAAUAAGCGGAGGAAAAGAAACUAACUAGGAUUCCCUCAGUAACGGCGAGUGAAGCGGGAAGAGCUCAAAUUUGAAAUCUUCAAGGUUUUACCUUGACGAAUUGUAGUUUAAAGAAGUGUUUUCUGUUGGAUGUUUUGGUAAAAGUUCUUUGGAAUAGGACAUCAUAGAGGGUGAGAAUCCCGUAUUUGACCAUUUCUUCCAGCUGUGUGAUACACUUUCAAAGAGUCGGAUUGUUUGGGAAUGCAGUCCAAAAUGGGUGGUAAAUUUCAUCUAAAGCUAAAUAUUGGCGAGAGACCGAUAGCGAACAAGUACCGUGAGGGAAAGAUGAAAAGAACUUUGAAAAGAGAGUUAAACAGUACGUGAAAUUGUCAAAAGGGAAGCGUUUGACACCAGUGUUGUUUUCUCGAAAAUCAAUUAAAAAUGACCGGAUUUUGUGUUGUAUUGACUUUAUCAGCUUUCUGCACUUUUUUCUUGUCUUUUUUAAUGCACUUUUCGUUUAACAAGUCAACAUCAAUUUCUUUUGUUGUAAAAGGGUCAUUGGAAGGUGGCUUUCACUUCGGUGAAAGUGUUUAUAGCCUUUGACUUCUGCAAUCGGAGAGAUUGAGGUCUGCAGCGUAGGAUCCUUCGGGGUUAGAUACAUUUGUGCUAAGUUAGUAGUUUUUCAUAGACAACAUGUUGACUAUGAUUAAUCAUGUAGCUUACUCGCUUAUGCUAUUUUACCUACGCUUAGGAUGUUGAAUCUGUGCGAGACUAC